UAUUAGGUGACUGAAAUAGUGUAGGAUUUUUAAUCAUAUAAUGGCUUUGCCCCUAAUUA
rnacentral:tRNA from 1 species